rnacentral:rRNA from 1 species
UACGUAGGGGCAAGCGUUGUCCGGAAUUAUUGGGCGUAAAGGGCGCGCAGGCGGUCUUCUAAGUCUGAUGUGAAAUCCCACGGCUUAACCGUGGAGGGUCAUUGGAAACUGGUCGACUUGAGUGCAGAAGAGGGAAGUGGAAUUCCAUGUGUAGCGGUGAAAUGCGUAGAGAUUAGGAAGAACACCAGUGGCGAAGGCGAUUCUCUGGACUGUAACUGACGCUGAGGCACGAAAGCGUGGGGAGCAAACAGGAUUAGAUACCCCCGUAGU